rnacentral:lncRNA from 1 species
GGACGCAAGAGAAAGAGAGAGAGAGAGGCCGCUGAGGACACGACCUUAUGUCAGAGGACUCUUUCUUCCCACCCUCUACACCCCAGUGAAGAUCCAGCCGUAUCAGCUGCUGUUUGUACAAAUAUCAGCAAAACGCUGGAGCGGUAACACUAAACCUCUUCCCCGGCCGUUCCUCUGAGUUGAACUUAAGUGUCUGAAACAGACAAUUGUUUGAGCUUGUAGCAUUUUUCCCUACAAACUGCAGCCAUUAAUGUCUGAAUGCCAGGAUUUGCACGCAAUAAGGUCUGGGUUAAUACAGCUGAACUCCUGAAUUUUUUAUAGACUGUUAUCAGGGAGCAGCUGUUUUCUAGUUGAGGAGCAUUAGACAUCUGCUGCACAAUCAUUCUACUGAUCAACAACAGCUUUUUAGUGUAUUUGUGCAUAAAAAUUAAACAACAACAUUGUGCUUUUGUGAAGUGUGCCUCACACAGGUGAGUGGACUUGACAAACCACCUGUGGAUACACU